rnacentral:lncRNA from 1 species
CAUAACCUGCACUCUCCCAACCCAUUAUUAGGAACCAGCCACUGUUCUGCUGAUAGUGCCUCUCGCUUCUCUGGACAGAUAAGGGGUUCCCCCGGGGUUUCAGAGAAUCAAGUUUCAUUCUCCAGCUAGACAGAUGUGACGAUAAAGUUCUCUUUAUUACAGACCUACAAAAGGAGAUCCAUAAAAUACUUCUAUUUUCUCUUAUAAAAUUACGACGAGAGCCUGCGGGUUUGCAGAGGAUUUGUACCUGUCCUGGGGACAUCCAAACAGAGGGAUCAAGACAGUUUCCACAGACAAGGCAGAGGCAUUCUCAGCUUUAAACAAACCCACCCGGAGCAGAUAAGCCUGCACAUGUUGUGAGGAGCAGCUGCCCUCUGCACUGGACUGUCAGAUGCUAGACAAAAGAAAAAUAUUCCUCCUCUUAGCUCAGCAGAAGUUCCACACGUCAGCAAUUUGCUGAUGAACACGGGCUCCUAAUCCCAGCUGCAUUCCUCAUUUUGAGGAUGAGCAGCCCUGCUCCUCAGCACCCUUUACAACUACUGCUGCUAAAGAGAAGGGGGGAGCAGGAAGGAAGGGUUACAACAUCGUCCAUCUCCUAAAAACCCCAAACAGAAGAAAACCCCAGGCUGUACGAGGCAGGCAGCCCGCGUGCUCCUCAACUCUCCUGGACAAGGAAUGCACAACAUGGACAUAUCCAGAGGCAGAGGUACAGCCACCCUUUAACUUCAGGCUCCAAUGAGUUUCUUGAGGAAUGCUUCCAGCUGAUCCUCAUCCUUUAUCCCCACAAACUUAUCCACAACAUCUCCAUUCUUCAUCGCCAGCACUGUUGGCACUGCUGACACCUCGUACUCAAUCGCAAGGUCUGUGUGAUCAUCGAUGUCCACUUUGGCCAUCACCACCUUCCCGUCCUGCUUGGCCACCAUCUUUUCUAACCGGGGGCCUAGGAUCUUGCAGGGACCACACCAUUGCGCGUGGAAAUCCACCACCACGGGCUUAGGGCUGUUCACCACCCGCUCUUGGAAGUCGCCUCCGUCCUGCACGUUGAAGGCGCUGCCGCGGAUCGCCGAGCUGCCGAAGGCCCGGCCGGGUAAGCCCUGAGAGGCCAACGGCCUGGGCCCAAGGGGCAGCGGCCUGCGUCCCAGGGCCAGCAGCCGCCUCAGUGCCAGCCUCUGGGCCAUCUUCCCGGCCCGGAGGUGACCCCUGCCCAACCCCGCUUCCUUCCAGCGGUCCCGCCCUCCCGCACGCUGAUUGGCCUCCCUCACCAGAGCGGUGAGCUCUUAUUGGCUGCCGCGGCUGCCAGCUAGGGAGGAGGAUGUUGCACCGCAGGGGCGGAUCCCGAACGACGAUUGGUGGAGAAUAACGCCAAUCAGCGCUCAGGCCCCACCCUCGCC